GGGGGGACGCUUAUACAUGCAGUCGAACGAGUUCUCGUUGAUGAUCGGUGCUUGCACCGAGAUUCAACAUUGAACGAGUGGCGGACGGGUGAGUAACACGUGGGUAACCUGCCCUUAAGUGGGGGAUAACAUUUGGAAACAGAUGCUAAUACCGCAUAGAUCCAAGAACCGCAUGGUUCUUGGCUGAAAGAUGGCGUAAGCUAUCGCUUUUGGAUGGACCCGCGGCGUAUUAGCUAGUUGGUGAGGUAAUGGCUCACCAAGGCGAUGAUACGUAGCCGAACUGAGAGGUUGAUCGGCCACAUUGGGACUGAGACACGGCCCAAACUCCUACGGGAGGCAGCAGUAGGGAAUCUUCCACAAUGGACGCAAGUCUGAUGGAGCAACGCCGCGUGAGUGAAGAAGGCUUUCGGGUCGUAAAACUCUGUUGUUGGAGAAGAAUGGUCGGCAGAGUAACUGUUGUCGGCGUGACGGUAUCCAACCAGAAAGCCACGGCUAACUACGUGCCAGCAGCCGCGGUAAUACGUAGGUGGCAAGCGUUAUCCGGGAUUUAUUGGGCGUAAAGCGAGCGCAGGCGGUUUUUUAAGUCUGAUGUGAAAGCCCUCGGCUUAACCGAGGAAGCGCAUCGGAAACUGGGAAACUUGAGUGCAGAAGAGGACAGUGGAACUCCAUGUGUAGCGGUGAAAUGCGUAGAUAUAUGGAAGAACACCAGUGGCGAAGGCGGCUGUCUGGUCUGUAACUGACGCUGAGGCUCGAAAGCAUGGGUAGCGAACAGGAUUAGAUACCCUGGUAGUCCAUGCCGUAAACGAUGAAUGCUAGGUGUUGGAGGGUUUCCGCCCUUCAGUGCCGCAGCUAACGCAUUAAGCAUUCCGCCUGGGGAGUACGACCGCAAGGUUGAAACUCAAAGGAAUUGACGGGGGCCCGCACAAGAGGUGGAGCACGUGGUUUUAUUCGAAGCAACGCGAAGAACAUUACCAGGUCUUGACAUCUUUUUAUCACCUGAGAGAUCAGGUUUCCCCUUCGGGGGCAAAAUGACAGGUGCUGCAUGGUUGUCGUCAGCUCGUGUCGUGAGAUGUUGGGUUACAGUCCCGCAACGAGCGCAACCCUUAUGACUAGUUGCCAGCGUUUAGUUGGGCACUCUAGUAAGACUGCCGGUGACAAACCGGAGGAAGGUGGGGAUGACGUCAAAUCAUCAUGCCCCUUAUGACCUGGGCUACACACGUGCUACAAUGGAUGGUACAACGAGUUGCGAGACCGCGAGGUCAAGCUAAUCUCUUAAAGCCAUUCUCAGUUCGGACUGUAGGCUGCAACUCGCCUACACGAAGUCGGAAUCGCUAGUAAUCGCGGAUCAGCACGCCGCGGUGAAUACGUUCCCGGGCCUUGUACACACCGCCCGUCACACCAUGAGAGUUUGUAACACCCGAAGCCGGUGGCGUAACCCUGUUAGGGAGCGAGACGCGUCUGGUAAGUAGGUUGAAGAC
rnacentral:rRNA from 2 species